GCAGAGCACUCCUCGGGAGGCAGCAGUGGGGAAUAUUGCACAAUGGGCGCAAGCCUGAUGCAGCCAUGCCGCGUGUAUGAAGAAGGCCUUCGGGUUGUAAAGUACUUUCAGCAGUGAGGAAGGUGGGUAUGUUAAUAGCAUAUUCAUUUGACGUUAGCUGCAGAAGAAGCACCGGCUAACUCCGUGCCAGCAGCCGCGGUAAUACGGAGGGUGCGAGCGUUAAUCGGAAUUACUGGGCGUAAAGCGCAUGCAGGUGGUUUGUUAAGUCAGAUGUGAAAGCCCGGGGCUCAACCUCGGAAUUGCAUUUGAAACUGGCAAACUAGAGUACUGUAGAGGGGGUAGAAUUUCAGGUGUAGCGGUGAAAAUGCGUAGAGAUCUGAAGGAAUACCGGUGGCGAAGGCGGCCCCCUGGACAGAUACUGACACUCAGAUGCGAAAGCGUGGGGAGCAAACAGGAUUAGAUACCCUGGUAG
rnacentral:rRNA from 1 species